GACGAACGCUGGCGGCGUGCUUAACACAUGCAAGUCGAACGGAAAGGCCCUGCUUUUGUUGGCUGCUCGAGUGGCGAACGGGUGAGUAACACGUGAGUAACCUGCCCUUGACUUUGGGAUAACUUCAGGAAACUGUGGCUAAUACCGGAUAGGAGCUCCUGCUGCAUGGUGUGGGCUGGAAAGUUUCGGCGGUUUGGGAUGGACGUGCGGCUUAUGAGCUUGUUGGUGUGGUAGUGGCGUACCAAGGCUUUGACGGGUAGCCGGACUGAGAGGGUGACCGGCCACAUUGGGACUGAGGUAGGGCCAAGACGCAUACGGGAGGAAGCAGUGGGGAAUAUUGCAAAAUGGGCGGAAGGCUGAUGGAGCAACGCCGCGUGCUGGAUGACGGCCGUCGGGGUGUAAACCGCUUUCGCCUGUGACGAAGCGUGAGUGACGGUAAUGGGUAAAGAAGCACCGGCUAACUACGUG
rnacentral:rRNA from 1 species